UCUCUAGCACUCUGCCUGCUUCGUUCUAAAAUAGCGAAAGAAAAGUAGGAUUUUAAUUGGUGUUUUAAUAAGAAUCUGAAGAGACAAAAAGAAUUUGUUUAAAUGAUAAAUUCUUACCAAGCUUUGCCUUUAUAUCCAAUUUUUCUGCAGAUGUCUUUCUCCCAGGCUUUCGACCUCGUUUUCCACAUUCUUUGCGGGUCUAAUAAAAUAAGAAUUUAUU